rnacentral:rRNA from 1 species
AUUGAACGCUGGCAGCAUGCCUUACACAUGCAAGUCGAACGGCAGCGGACCUUCGGGUGCCGGCGAGUGGCGAACGGGUGAGUAAUAUAUCGGAACGUACCUUUCAGUGGGGGAUAACGUAGCGAAAGUUACGCUAAUACCGCAUAUUCUGUGAGCAGGAAAGCAGGGGAUCGCAAGACCUUGCGCUGAUUGAGCGGCCGAUAUCAGAUUAGCUAGUUGGUGAGGUAAAGGCUCACCAAGGCGACGAUCUGUAGCGGGUCUGAGAGGAUGAUCCGCCACACUGGAACUGAGACACGGUCCAGACUCCUACGGGAGGCAGCAGUGGGGAAUUUUGGACAAUGGGCGCAAGCCUGAUCCAGCCAUGCCGCGUGAGUGAAGAAGGCCU